rnacentral:rRNA from 1 species
UACGAAGGGUGCAAGCGUUAAUCGGAAUUACUGGGCGUAAAGCGUACGUAGGCGGCUUUGUAAGUUAGAGGUGAAAGCCCGGGGCUCAACUCCGGAAUUGCCUUUAAGACUGCAUCGCUUGAAUCAUGGAGAGGUGAGUGGAAUUCCGAGUGUAGAGGUGAAAUUCGUAGAUAUUCGGAAGAACACCAGUGGCGAAGGCGACUCACUGGACAUGUAUUGACGCUGAGGUACGAAAGCGUGGGGAGCAAACAGG